rnacentral:lncRNA from 1 species
GGAUCUGAAAGUUCCUGGAGUUUUAGUAGUGCUGGAUGAAGUCCGGGAGUAAAUUGGGACAAUUUUAAACAAAAUGUGCUUUUGUUUUUAUUCUUCUGCAACCAAGCUUUGAGAAUUGGUAAGAUUUUUGUUUUUAAGUUUAAAAACUUGGACCAAUUUAAUGGUUUAAAAAGAAGUACUUUCUUCCAUGGUGUAUUUACUGCUGUUAAAAUAGACAUGAAGCAGGUUUCAAUGAAGGGAGUACUUCUGCUUUGGGAAAUUGAUGAUCCUGUAGACAAGGAUUUGUGGGCAGGCAGGACCAAGGAUGACCCAAGCCCGAGCUGUGGCACAAAACAAUGAAAACAGGAAGAAGGUUUCUCCAGAAAAAGUGAAGUUCCAAGUACUCAAGGAACAGAGUCAAGGGCCAGUGAAAAAACCAGUGAAGUCUGAAAGAGGAGAUGUUGUAGCUCAUGAAAAACUGGGAGUGAAGGGGAUGGCCUGUGGAACACCUGAAAUUAAGGGUGGGAGACUGCAUGUGGGCAUGACUGAAGAUGGCUGAUCUCAUCCUUAACUAAGGAAUACUUCUCUGUGAUUAAAAUAAGAUGUAUGGUUGCAGGCAAAGGGGGAAAAAUUAAGUGGUCCAUGAAUGUUUUGUGAUUUUAAAUCCUUAGAUAAAGCCCAGGGCACAUGUUGAAUUCUGACUGCUUUCCAAGCUGGCACUGCGUUGGCUGUGUUAGAGUGCAAAUUUCUAUUAUCAAGUGUGGGGUGAUUUCUAUUUAAUAAGGAUAUUUUGCCUUAUAGCAAGUAGAAAAUUGUAAUAAUAAACAGGAAGCCCAGACUCCA